AGGGUGCAGGGCGGAUGCCUUGGCACUAGGAGCCGAUGAAGGACGUGAUAAGCUGCGAUAAGCUUCGGGGAGUUGCACGUAAACUUUGAUCCGAAGAUUUCCGAAUGAGGAAACUCACUUAGAGUAAUGUCUAAGUAUCAUUAAGUGAAUACAUAGCUUAAUGAGGGGAACUCAGGGAACUGAAACAUCUAAGUACCUGAAGGAAGAGAAAGAAAUUCGAUUCCGUAAGUAGCGGCGAGCGAACGCGGAUUAGCCCAAACCAAUAAAGUUUUCUUUAUUGGGGUUGCGGACAUAUCAUAACGAAGAGGUAUCGUAAUUGAAGAGGUUUGGAAAGACCCACCACAGAAGGUAAUAGUCCUGUAUGUUAAACGAGAAGACUUCAGAUAUGAUCCAGAGUACCACGGGACACGUGAAACCCUGUGGGAAGCAGGAGGGACCACCCUCCAAGGCUAAAUACUACCUAGUGACCGAUAGCGUAUAGUACCGUGAGGGAAAGGUGAAAAGAACCCCGGGAGGGGAGUGAAAUAGAACCUGAAACCCUGCACUUACAAGCUGUGGAAGCACAUUUCUUGUGUGACCGCGUACUUUUUGUAGAACGGGCCAACGAGUUACGUUAAGUAGCAAGGUUAAGCACUUAAGGUGCGGAGCCGUAGCGAAAGCGAGUUUUAACUGAGCGUUCAGUUACUUGACGUAGACCCGAAACCGGGCGACCUACCCAUGAGCAGGAUGAAGCGAAAGUAAAAUUUCGUGGAGGUCCGAACCCACGAGCGUUGAAAAGCUCGGGGAUGACUUGUGGGUAGCGGUGAAAUUCCAAUCGAGCCCGGAGAUAGCUGGUUCUCCCCGAAAUAGCUUUAGGGCUAGCCUCAAGGUGAGAGAUACGGAGGUAGAGCACUGAAUGUCCUAGGGGGUAUUGCACCUACCGAAGACUAUCAAACUCCGAAUGCCGUCAUCUUAUACUUGGGAGUCAGACUGUGGGUGAUAAGAUUCAUAGUCGAAAGGGCAACAGCCCAGAUCGUCAGCUAAGGUCCCUAAAUGUAAGUUAAGUGGUAAAGGAUGUGGGAUUGCACAGACAACCAGGAUGUUGGCUUAGAAGCAGCCACUCAUUCAAAGAGUGCGUAAUAGCUCACUGGUCGAGUGAUCCUGCGCCGAAGAUUUCCGGGGCUAAAACUUACUACCGAAGCUACGGCAUCAGUAAUGAUGGGUAGGGGAGCUUCCCAUACGGGUUGAAGCAUGACCGUAAGGACAUGUGGACAGUAUGGGAGUGAGAAUGUUGGCAUGAGUAGCGAGAUGUGGGUGAGAAUCCCACAGGCCGUAAACCCAAGGUUUCCAGGGGAAGGUUCGUCCGCCCUGGGUUAGUCGGGACCUAAGCUGAGGCCGAAAGGCGUAGGUGAUGGACAACAGGUUGAUAUUCCUGUACUACCGAUAACCGUUUGAGAGAAGGGAUGACACAGUAGGAUAAGCUAAGCACACUGUUGGUUAUGUGUGCCCAAGCAUUGAGGCAGUCAAAGCAGGCAAAUCCGCUUUGAUAAUGCUGGGAUGUGAUGGGGAGCGAAAUUUAGUAGCGAAGUAGCUGAUUUCACACUGUCAAGAAAAGUCUCUAUCGAGGUUAAAGGUACCCGUACCGCAAACCGACACAGGUGGGUGAGGAGAGUAUCCUAAGGCCAGCGAGAGAACUGUUGUUAAGGAACUCGGCAAAAUGACCCCGUAACUUAGGGAUAAGGGGUGCCACCAUCCGGUGGCCGCAGAGAAUAGGCCCAAGCGACUGUUUACCAAAAACAUAGGUUUCUGCUAAGUCGCAAGACGAUGUAUAGGAGCUGACGCCUGCCCGGUGCUGGAAGGUUAAGGGGAUCUGUUAGAGCAAUCGAAGCAGUGAACUUAAGCCCCAGUAAACGGCGGCCGUAACUAUAACGGUCCUAAGGUAGCGAAAUUCCUUGUCGGGUAAGUUCCGACCCGCACGAAAGGCGUAACGAUUUGGGCACUGUCUCAACAACAGACUCGGUGAAAUUGUAAUUCCGGUGAAGAUGCCGGAUACCUGCGACAGGACGGAAAGACCCCAUGGAGCUUUACUGUAGCUUGACAUUGGGUCUUGGUACUACAUGUACAGGAUAGGUGGGAGGCUUUGAAACCAGGACGCCAGUUUUGGCGGAGCCAUCCUUGGGAUACCACCCUUGUAGUACUGGGACUCUAACCAUAGGCCAUGAAUCUGGUCUUGGGACACUGUCAGGUGGGCAGUUUGACUGGGGCGGUCGCCUCCCAAAAGGUAACGGAGGCGCUCAAAGGUUCUCUCAGUACGGUCGGAAAUCGUACGUAGAGUGUAAAGGCAAAAGAGAGCUUGAUUGCAAGACAUACAGGUCGAGCAAGGAUGAAAAUCGGACUUAGUGAUCCGGUGGUUCUGCGUGGAAGGGCCAUCGCUCAACGGAUAAAAGCUACCCUGGGGAUAACAGGCUUAUCUCCCCCAAGAGUCCACAUCGACGGGGAGGUUUGGCACCUCGAUGUCGGCUCAUCACAUCCUGGGGCUGUAGUAGGUCCCAAGGGUUGGGCUGUUCGCCCAUUAAAGUGGUACGCGAGCUGGGUUCAGAACGUCGUGAGACAGUUCGGUCCCUAUCCGUCGCAGGCGUAGGAAAUUUGAGAAGACCUGUCCUUAGUACGAGAGGACCGGGAUGGACGUACCUCUGGUGUACCAGUUGUUCUGCCAAGGGCAUGGCUGGGUAGCUAUGUACGGAAUGGAUAAGCGCUGAAAGCAUCUAAGCGCGAAGCCAACUUCAAGAUAAGAUUUCCCACCGCAAGGGUAAGACCCCAGAAAGACUAUCUGGUUGAUAGGUCGAAGGUGUAAGUGCAGCAAUGUAUUUAGCUUAUCGAUACUAAUAGGUCGAGGACUUGACC
rnacentral:rRNA from 1 species